rnacentral:rRNA from 1 species
GAUGAACGCUAGCUACAGGCUUAACACAUGCAAGUCGAGGGGUAACGAGAGGAAAGCUCGCUUUCCUUGUCGACGUCCGGCGCACGGGUGAGUAACGCGUAUCCAACCUGCCCCCAACUAGGGAAUAACCUUGCGAAAGUAAGACUAAUACCCUAUAAUUUCCUCAGAUGACAUCUGACGAGGAAUAAAGAUUUAUCGGUUGUGGAUGGGGAUGCGUCUGAUUAGCUUGUUGGCGGGGUAACGGCCCACCAAGGCAACGAUCAGUAGGGGUUCUGAGAGGAAGGUCCCCCACAUUGGAACUGAGACACGGUCCAAACUCCUACGGGAGGCAGCAGUGAGGAAUAUUGGUCAAUGGGCGGAAGCCUGAACCAGCCAAGUAGCGUGCAGGAUGACGGCCCUAUGGGUUGUAAACUGCUUUUAUACAGGAAUAAAGUUAGCCACGUGUGGUUAUUUGUAGGUACUGUAUGAAUAAGGACCGGCUAAUUCCGUGCCAGCCGCCGCGGUAA